UACGUAGGUGGCAAGCGUUGUCCGGAUUUACUGGGCGUAAAAGGCGUGCAGGCGGUCUGUUAAGUUCAGGGUGAAAGCUCCCGGCUCAACUGGGAGAGGUCCUUGGAUACUGGCAGACUUGAGGGAGGUAGAGGAGAGUGGAAUUCCCGGUGUAGUGGUGAUAUGCGUAGAUAUCGGGAGGAACACCAGUGGCGAAGGCGGCUCUCUGGGACGGUACUGACGCUGAGACGCGAAAGCGUGGGGAGCGAACAGG
rnacentral:rRNA from 1 species